rnacentral:misc_RNA from 1 species
CUUAAACAAGUAAUCCUUUCACAUCAGCUAGCUAGCUGGGAAUCCGUUCAAGAGAUACUUGCCGAGCAUUACACACGACAAUUUCUUCAUGAGAUGUACAAGGUAUUUGGUUCAGCAGGAGUUAUCGGAAAUCCUAUGGGGUUUGCAAGGAGCAUGGGUCUUGGCCUCAAAGAUUUCUUGUCAGCUCCUGUACAAAGUGUUUUCCAGACUCGUGCAGGGUUAAUUAAAGGCAUGGCACAAGGGACCGCUAGUCUUUUGAGUAACACCGUCUAUGCCUUAAGUGAUGCUGCCACCCAAUUCAGCAAAGCUGCACACAAGGGUAUCGUGGCAUUUACUUUUGAUGAUCAGGCUGUCGGAAAUAUGGAAAGACACCAGAAG